UCCCUGGUGGUCUAGUGGUUAGGACUCAGCACUUUAUCACUGUGGCCCAGGUUCAAUCCCUGGUCUGGGAA
rnacentral:tRNA from 1 species